GGUGAGGCUGGGCCUCCGAGGUGCAUCCAGAGCCCUCCAGUCUCAUUCAUGGCCUGGGGAAGCUGCAACAGUCCCUCUGUGACCCUGGGAGAAACUUUCUGAGCCCCAACUUGCUGAACUAUAAACAGGGCCUGGGCGAUGCUCUCCCGAGUUCCUCCUGGCUCUGCCUCUCCUGCUCUCCUGCUCUGUGCGCCCUGCUCGGUCACGCAGGAAGGAGCUGCGUGGUGUGCCUGGGGAGGCGAUGCUGGGACCUCAGCCUGAGAAGUGGUGACUACAGCCAGGUCCUGAAUCCCCGUCAUUCCAAACUUCAGCUGUAUGCCCUGGUGAACUCCCGGUGGUCAUCAAUCACAUAAUCCCUGGGUAAACAAGUUCUUCAAAAUGACAUCUACUCUGCUGUGUUCUGCCAUGCAGUGCCCUCCUUUUCUGGCCUGAAUGGGGCAGAGCCCAUGUCUGGGUGUCUCAACCCAUGUGAGCCAAUCUGUGCAGCCACAGCGGUUGGUUCCAGGAUGUCAGGUAACCUGCUCAUGAGACCAAGAAAAGCACGUGACCGGGAGUCUAGGAGAAGGGCUUUUCUUCCAGUGGAUUUGGUGGGUGAGGUUUGGAGCCUAUGCAGACAUCUCGUGGCCCCGAAGAGAGUCUGGAUAGAGCCAGCACACACCGGGGAGGCAGAGGGCGGAAGCAGUGAAUCUGCAUCAGCUGAUGCGUUGGCUGAACCCGGGGACUAGACCACACCUGACCUCCAUCUGGAUUUCCAGUUAUUAGAGCAACAUUCUCUUUUGUUUAUUUGCUCAUUUAUUUGUCUGACAAACAGGGCUUCUUGAACUUGGAAAUGAAUCAUUUCUGAUAUUUACAAGUGUCCUCUAGAAAGUGUUGAGCUCUUAUCAGGAUGGGAGAGUACCCAGCGAGCCUUGGUGCUUCCCAUCUUCAUGGCCCCCCAGGGCCUCCUGGGGCUUGAACUACAGUUGCCAGCGAAGAACAGGCGCCGUCACCCCCUGCCACGGCUGCCAUGCUGCCACAGUGGCCUAUUUCCUUUCUCCCCUUCCCCUACUAGUGUUUUGUGGGCCCCAUAGAUGAAAAUUCAGUAACUCAGGCUGCGACCUUCUGCAGAGGAAUGGGGAGCCGUGGUGCAGGCUGCAGGGCAGACUGCUCACGGACUUGGAGACCCCUGGAGUCAGUGUGGGCCUUGACGCUUCAGUGGGGUGGCCCCGUUAAAUAACCAAUCAGACAGGCCUCGUGACGUAGGACGCCUGCCCAGCCAAUGAGCUACCUCUGAAAACUCUGGGGGAAUCUCACACAAGCAGCCUCCCGCGCCUGCCUCCAUGGCCCUCAGCACCACCCUGACUUGGUGGGUCCCAAUUGUGAAUCUUUGUUCCCAAAUAAAUGCUGUCUC